CAUUCAAUCACCUAAACUCAGAAAAAGGACAGGAGGGGUGGAAACUUUAUCUUCUCUGUAGCAUCAAAACAAAGAAAACUGCUGUAUCCUCUCCUCACUUGGGUGUACUUCCUCAAUAAUAACUGCUCUUAUUUGGCCAUAUGUCAUUUACAUCAAUGAAAUUUUGCGUGCAGAAGAUGAGGAAAUACUCCAUCAAGGAAUCGGUGUCACAGUGGAUGAUGAAGCAGCAGCUCCUCCUAUGACCGGAAUCAAGCAUACCCUCAUGAAGCCAG
rnacentral:lncRNA from 11 species